CGAGUGGCGGACGGGUGGAGUAACGCGUGGGCGAACCUGCCCCACGUACAGGGGAGUAACAGUUGGAAACGACUGACAAUACCGCAUAAGCGCACAGUACCGCAUGGUACGGUGUGAAAAACUACCGGUGGUAUGGGAUGGGCCCGCGUCUGAUUAGCUAGUUGGUGAGGUAACGGCCCACCAAGGCGACGAUCAGUAGCCGACCUGAGAGGGUGACCGGCCACAUUGGGACUGAGACACGGCCCAAACUCCUACGGGAGGCAGCAGUGGGGAAUAUUGCACAAUGGGGGAAACCCUGAUGCAGCCGACGCCGCGUGAGUGAUGAAGUAUUUCGGUAUGUAAAGCUCUAUCAGCAGGGAAGAACAAUGACGGUACCUGACUAAGAAGCCCCGGCUAACUACGUGCCAGCCGCCGC
rnacentral:rRNA from 1 species